rnacentral:rRNA from 1 species
AUUCCCCCCCCGCCUUUUUUUCUAAACACAUGUCUCCUUGGAAGUUUUGUAUAUAAGGAGUCGAACCCGCCCAGCGACUAAGAUGUUAAACGGCCGCGGUACCCUAACCGUGCAAAGGUAGCAUAAUCAUUUGCCUUUUAAUUGGAGGCUUGUAUGAAUGGUUUGACGAGAGCUAUGCUGUCUCUAUUAAAAUAAUUAGAAAUUAACUUUUAGGUGAAGAGGCCUAAAUUAAGCUGAGGGACAAGAAGACCCUGUUGAGCUUUAGUGUGGUUAAGUUAAUAAUUUUUUCAUUAAUGAAAAACAUUAAUUUAAUGAUUCUUUAGUUGGGGCGACUGAGGAACAUAAAAAGCUUCCUUAAAAUAGUAUUUAACCUAUGUAGUGUAUUAUUUAUUUUGAUAUAUUAGUUUGAUCCGGUUUGUUAUCGAUUAAUAGAAAAAGUUACCACAGGGAUAACAGCGUAAUCUUUCUGGAGAGAUCUAAUCGAAAGAAGGGUUUGCGACCUCGAUGUUGGACUAAGAUAUCCUAGGGGUGUAGAAGCUCUGAGGGCUGGUCAUACGAUCCGCAGUG